UGUCCCAGCCGAUGAGCUCAAGGUGUCACCGUCAUUGGAAGAGAACAAAGAAGAAGCCAUGGUAAAAGCCGGCAAGAAACUAGAAGCCCUCGGACGUGUGCUGCAGGGAAAAGUGCCUGAAAGCAGUGCCGAUGCACUGCGGGAUGUGACCGAAGCAAUUGAAGCACUCGCCGCUGGUGAAAACGCACUGGACAAAGAAUCCUCCGAGUACUGGGUUGGCGUCAUCGUUCGCGGAGUUGCCGGUGGUGCGGUUGCCCACGGCAUCGACAAGUGGAGGAAGAGGAAGGGAUAAUAAUCAACAACUGAGAUGUUCGGAAAAUAUACUGCCUUGGCAUUUCUCUCACGUG